rnacentral:rRNA from 1 species
AUUGAACGCUGGCGGCAUGCCUUACACAUGCAAGUCGAACGGUAACGGGCCUUCGGGUGCCGACGAGUGGCGAACGGGUGAGUAAUGCAUCGGAACGUACCCAUUAGUGGGGGAUAACUCUCCGAAAGGAGGGCUAAUACCGCAUAUUCUGUGAGCAGGAAAGCAGGGGAUCGCAAGACCUUGCGCUGAUGGAGCGGCCGAUGUCAGAUUAGCUAGUUGGUGAGGUAAAGGCUCACCAAGGCGACGAUCUGUAACGGGUCUGAGAGGAUGAUCCGCCACACUGGAACUGAGACACGGUCCAGACUCCUACGGGAGGCAGCAGUGGGGAAUUUUGGACAAUGGGGGCAACCCUGAUCCAGCCAUGCCGCGUGAGUGAAGAAGGCCUUCGGGUUGUAAAGCUCUUUCGGCCGGGAAGAAAUCGCACGGGUUAAUACCCUGUGUGGAUGACGGUACCGGAAUAAGAAGCACCGGCUAACUACGUGCCAGCAGCCGCCGUAA